UUUGGUUCUUCCAUAUCUCCAUUAUUUAGAUGGGCUUAACAUCUGUGUUUUCAUUUUCUUUUCCUUUUUCUCCUCCUUGACUCCACUCUUCUUUAGUUUUCUUUCUAGUUUACUUCUGACCCAAAUUCCUUUUUACAAAGGAGAAGUCAGGAACUGACCUAGCAAACCAGAAUACUACCCCUUCCCUCCUGUCUCUGCAACACUGCCCAUCUCUCCCCAUCCUCCCCAUCCUGGGAACCUGGAUGGCCAAGAUGGAACUCUUUUUUGAGAGCUGGGGGAGGAGAAAUGGAGCAGGCAAGGAAGACAAUUUUGGUGGUGGGUGGUAGCAAACAUGGUGUUGGAAAAGAUGGUGGGGAGGCUGGGAACACUCUACAUACCAACCUUGUCCUCAUCACAUUAGCAUGUGGGCACUGUGGGUGGAAGAGCCUGGCCACUCGUGCGUGACAAACUCCAACACAGACUGCCAUGCAAGAGCUACUUGUUGUAGUGAAUGGCAGCAAGGAGAGGCCCCUCCUUACCCCUGAGAUCCCCAUUGCCAUGGAUGGUUCAUUUUCAUUACCUUGCUGGUCUCCUUUUCUUUGCAGAGUUGACUGUUUCUGUAAUAGCAUACCUUGAGAUCUACUCAGAAAUGGCAGACUGGGAGAGAUGGCACUCCCACUUAUUCCACGUGCUCUCCUACACUUCCCAGCCUCCUAGGUGAGGGCUGUGUGGCUUGUUCUGACCAACGCAGGCACACCUUGGGGAUAUGCAGGUUCCAUUCCAGACCACCCCCAACAAAGUGAGUAUCUCAAUAAAACAAGUCACACAUUUUUUUUUGGUUUCCCAGUGCACAUAAGUUAUGUUUACACUGUACUAUACACUAUUAAGUGAGCAAUAACAUUAUUCCUAAAAAAAGUACAUACCUUAAUUAAAAAUACUAUAUUGCUAAAAAAUACAAAUGAUCAUCUGAGGCUUCAGUGAGUUGUAAUCUUUUUGUUGAUGGAGGGUCUUGCCUUGAGGCUGAUGGCUGCUGACUAAUCAGGAU
rnacentral:lncRNA from 1 species